rnacentral:sRNA from 1 species
AUAGAGCGAGGACGCUAACAGGAACAAUGACUCAGGAUGAGGGUCAGGAGCGCCAGGAGGCGAAGACAGAGGAUUGUCAGGAAGAUAAACGUCCGGAGACGUAAUUAAAUGGAAAUGGAAUCAACACGGAUUGUUCCGGCUAAUGGAAAAACAGGGUGUGUUGGCGGCCUGAACCGCCCCGGGUUUCCUGGAGAGUAUUUUAUCUGUGA